rnacentral:rRNA from 1 species
GUAGGGAAUCUUCCACAAUGGACGCAAGUCUGAUGGAGCAACGCCGCGUGAGUGAAGAAGGGUUUCGGCUCGUAAAGCUCUGUUGGUAGUGAAGAAAGAUAGAGGUAGUAACUGGCCUUUAUUUGACGGUAAUUACUUAGAAAGUCACGGCUAACUACGUGCCAGCAGCCGCGGUAAUACGUAGGUGGCAAGCGUUGUCCGGAUUUAUUGGGCGUAAAGCGAGUGCAGGCGGUUCAAUAAGUCUGAUGUGAAAGCCUUCGGCUCAACCGGAGAAUUGCAUCAGAAACUGUUGAACUUGAGUGCAGAAGAGGAGAGUGGAACUCCAUGUGUAGCGGUGGAAUGCGUAGAUAUAUGGAAGAACACCAGUGGCGAAGGCGGCUCUCUGGUCUGCAACUGACGCUGAGGCUCGAAAGCAUGGGUAGCGAACAGGAUUAGAAACCCCAGUAGUCC